rnacentral:rRNA from 1 species
AUUGAACGCUGGCGGCAGGCCUAACACAUGCAAGUCGAACGGUAACAGGAAACAGCUUGCUGUUUCGCUGACGAGUGGCGGACGGGUGAGUAAUGUCUGGGAAACUGCCUGAUGGAGGGGGAUAACUACUGGAAACGGUAGCUAAUACCGCAUAACGUCGCAAGACCAAAGAGGGGGACCUUCGGGCCUCUUGCCAUCGGAUGUGCCCAGAUGGGAUUAGCUAGUAGGUGGGGUAACGGCUCACCUAGGCGACGAUCCCUAGCUGGUCUGAGAGGAUGACCAGCCACACUGGAACGGAGAAACGGUCCAGACCCCUACGGGAGGCAGCAGUGGGGAAUAUUGCAAAAUGGGCGCAAGCCUGAUGCAGCCAUGCCGGGUGGAUGAAGAAGGCCUUCGGGUUGUAAAGUACUUUCAGGGGGGAGGAAGGGAGUAAAGUUAAUACCUUUACUCAUUGACUUUACCCGCAGAAGAAGCACCGGCUAACUCCGG